AUUGAACGCUGGCGGCAGGCUUAACCCAUGCAAGUCGAGCGAGCGGCGGACGGGUGAGUAAUGUCUGGGAAACUGCCUGAUGGAGGGGGAUAACUACUGGAAACGGUAGCUAAUACCGCAUACCAUCAGAUGUGCCCAGAUGGGAUUAGCGAGUAGGUGGGGUACUGGCUCACAUAGGCGACGCUCCCUAGCUGGUCUGAGAGGAUGACAAGCCACACGGGAACUGAGACACGGUCCAGACUCCUACGUGAGGCAGCAGUGGGGAAUAUUGUACAAUGGGCGCAAGCCUGAUGCAGCCAUGUCGAGUGUAGGAAGAAGGCCUUCGGGUUGUAAAGUACUGUCAGCGGGGAGGCGUUACCCGCAGAAGAAGCACCGGCUAACUCCGUGCCAGCAGCCGCGGUAAUAC
rnacentral:rRNA from 1 species